UCCGGUUUGUCACCGGCAGUCCCAUUAGAGUGCCCAACUUAAUGCUGGCAACACGCCACGGGGGUUGCGCUCGUUGCGGGACUUAACCCAACAUCUCACGACACGAGCUGACGACAGCCAUGCAGCAUCUGUGGUGCACCCUCGAAGGUCACACGUUUCCGUGCGCUUGCAGCACCAUGUCAAGCCCAGGUAAGGUUCUUCGCGUUGCAUCGAAUUAAAGAACAUGCUCCGCUGCUUGUGCGGGCCCCCGUCUAUUCUUUUGAGUUUUAGCCUUGCGGCCGUACUCCCCAGGCGGAGUGCUUAACGCGUUAGCUACGUUGCCACUGGGGUCAAUACCCAUGACGACUAGCACUCAUCGUUUACGGCGUGGACUAC
rnacentral:misc_RNA from 1 species